rnacentral:rRNA from 1 species
AUUGAACGCUGGCGGCAGGCCUAACACAUGCAAGUCGAACGAGUGGCGGACGGGUGAGUAAUGUCUGGGAAAAUGCCUGAUGGAGGGGGAUAACAACUGGAAACGGUAGCUAAUACCGCAUACCAUCGGAUGUGCCCAGAUGGGAUUCGCUAGUUGGUUGGGUAAAGGCUCACCUAGGCGACGAUCCCUAGCUGGUCUGAGAGGAUGUCCAGCCACACUGGAACUGAGACACGGUCCAGACUCCAACGGUAGGCAGCAGUGGGGAAGUGUGCAAAAUGGGCGCAAGCCUGAUGCAGCCAUGCCGCGUGUAUGAAGAAGGCCUUCGGGUUGUAAAGUACUUUCAGCUGGGAGGCGUUACCCGCAGAAGAAGCACCGGCUAACUCCGUGCCAGCAGCCGCGGUAAUAC